AAACCCAAAAAGUGGACACGGGCCCUUCCSAGUGGCCUCCGCUGAAGAUGGGUUUUCCCCCGUGGAUUACCUUGGGGGGAUAAGGAGAGGGGCAGCCCUGGUGUCAGCCGCCGCGGUAAUACAGCUCUCCCGAGUGGUGGGGAUGCUUAUUGGGCCUAAAGCAUUCGUAGCCUGCUUGGCAAGUCCUCCGUUAAAUCCAACGAUUCAUCGUUGGGCUGCGGGGGAUACUGUCCGGCUAGGGGGCGGGAGAGGCCGACGGUAUCCUCGGGGUAGGGGUGAAAUCCUAUAAUCCCGGGAGGACCACCAGUGGCGAAGGCUGUCGGCUAGAACGCGCUCGACGGUGAGGGAUGAAAGCUGGGGGAGCGAACCGGAUUAGAUACCCGGGUAGUCCCAGCUGUAAACGAUGCAGGCUAGGUGUUGGCGCGGCUACGUGCCGCUUCAGUGCCGCAGGGAAGCCGUUAAGCCUGCCGCCUGGGAAGUACGGCCGCAAGGCUGAAACUUAAAGGAAUUGGCGGGGGAG
rnacentral:rRNA from 1 species